rnacentral:sRNA from 1 species
GUUGAGGCCCUUCUUGUGUAUCUGGAGAAAAUAGAGGUUAUGACUCCUCAGGAGCAAAAAACAUAACCUGAAGAGGAAGGAAGUGGAUUUGGGGUUCACCAUUUCUAGGGGCACACUUGAUUGAAGACUGAGACUUCUGAAGAGAAGGCCAGAAGAUACAAAGACAGACCAUCCCAGUUGAAUGCUGUCUUCCAAGAACAGAAGAAGAUGAUCCAGGCCCAGGUAACUGACUUUUGGUUGGUUUUAUUCUUCCCUUUGUUCCAUAAUAGAUUUGUAGAAGCCUGUAAACAUCAAUUUCACUAAUAUAAAAAGUAUAAAUUUCAAAAAGCAGGAUCUGGAGAGAAGUAAGCUUAGUUUCUAAACUCAAUAUCAUGCAAAAUAGUAGGAUAAGGAAUAUAAUGUUCAUAGCAUUAACACUAAAUUAUGAAUUUUAUGACACCAUGCAUGGCUGGAGGAUCCUGUCGAUUAUAUUAGCUGUCAGCUUGCAUCUAAUAUCUCUGACAGCCAAUGUCACAAGAAAAUCAUAAUUUACAUGGUAUGUCCCGUUUUUGAAGAUAAAACAGAUUACUUCCUGGGGGUUGCCAUUAUUUCAUGGCACUUUGGUCUCAGGAAAUUUCUUCAGUGGUUCUUCCUAGAGUUGAUGUGGCGGAUGGUGUCCAGAAUAGCAGCCUUCUCAUAAAUUCAGAUGCAGGUUUCCUGUGGCUGUUUCUUGAAGGACUCCUUAUAUACUGUUAUGGAAUAGACUAAGCAAACUCAGUAAACACAGGGACUAACAUAAGUUAAUUUCAGCCUUGUGGCAGUCUGGAUUUAACUUGGAAUAAAACCUAGACAUCCUGGGAAUAUGGCAGGAUUCCAGGACUUUCAAAUGGUUCUCAAUGAACAGAUAGCUGAACUGGUGUUUGAAUAUAGAUUUGGAGACAGGGAGUUGAAAGUGAUAUUGUCUGGACAGGACUUGGAUUGGAGUUUACAGAUUUCCUUUAGACUUUCACCUUGUAGAAAAUGCCAAGUCCUUAUUGUAUAGUAAAUAAUUGAACAAAGGGAGUUUUGGCCUUUGUGUUCAAGCUAAUGGAGGGUGAGCUCUGGGCUUCUGGAAUGUCUUGCUAAUGGUAGUGUCUUUGUUUGCUUGGGUCCUUUGGCCACUGGACAGCCUAAAAAUAUGAGCUAUGAUAGAUCUGUGAUCUAUGAUAGGUCAGAAACUUCCAGAACUAGAGGCUAAAGUUAAAACCUGACUUCUGGGAGGGUGUGGACCUAAGAUCAGCCACAUAGGUCAUCUGUGAUUGUGUCCCAGUAAAAUAAGAAAGUACACAUAUCAAAAAAUAAGUUUCAGCUGGGCGCGGUGGCUCAUGGCUGUAAUCCAGCACUUUGGGAGACCGAGGUGGGUGGAUCACGAGGUCUGGAGAUCGAGACCAUCCUGGCUCACACGGUGAAACCCCAUCUCUACUCAAAAUACAAAAAAUUGGUCGGGCGUGGUGGCAGGUGCCUGUAAUCCCAGCUACUUGGGAGGCUGAGGCAGGAGAAUGGCGUGAACCCAGGAGAUGGAAACUGCAGUGAGCCGAAAUGGUGCCACUGCACUCCAGCCUGGGUGACAGAGCAAGAUUCCAUCUC